rnacentral:lncRNA from 1 species
UUUAAUUUAGUUAACUUUGGUUUGAUUGUGUUCUUAUCAACUUUUUAUGAUUUUUAAGGUUUUUGUUUCAGUUUUCUAUUAGAUUUAAUUUACAUAGUUUAUUUUUAAGAGAAAUUAUUAGCAAUAUUUUUUAAUUUUCUAUUUAUGAUAGUUAACUUUGAUCUGAUUGUGUUCUUCUAAACUUUAUGGGUUUUAAAAAGAUUUUUGUUUAGUUUUACAUUGGAUUUAGUUUACAUAAUGUUUUUUUUCAUAGUAACCAACAUGAUGAUUUCGUGACCAUGGGUUUAUGUUUUCAAACAUGAUUUCUCUUAAAAGAACUAAACUAGGGGAAUCCGAUUGAACGAAACCGAAACACAAAUCAAGCCGAAUACAAACAGAACCGAAACCGAUCCAAACCUAACUAAUUAUGGUUAAAUUCAGUUGGAAAUUUUUUUAGAACCAAAUUAACCAGACCAAACCGAACCUAAACCGAAUCGAUAUAAUAACCGAAGUGCCCACCCAUACAGAGGAGAAAGAAACAAAAA